rnacentral:rRNA from 1 species
AUGGGAAACGGGACACAUGCUUCUGUUCAUGGUGUUGGUACGGUCGAUCUGAAGUUUACUUCGGGAAAGAUCGUGCGACUGAAGAACGUGCAGCAUGUCCCUGCUAUAAAUAAAAAUCUUGUCAGCGGUUCUCGUUUGUGUCGAGAUGGUUAUAAAUUGGUAUUUGAGUCCAAUAAGGUUGUAGUAUCUAAGUGUGGACAAUUUGUUGGGAAGGGCUAUGAGAGCGGAGGCUUGUUCCGCUUAUCUUUGUCAGACUUUUGCACUAAAGUUAUUAAUCAUGUUUGUAGUGAAACCGAAUCAAAUGUUUGGCAUUCACGACUUUGUCAUAUUAACUUUGGUGUCAUGAUGCGGCUAGCAAAUUUGAGUUUAAUCCCAAAAUUUACAAUUGUCAAAGGUUCUAAGUGUCAAAUUUGUGUGCAAGCAAAGCAACCUCGCAAGUCUCAUGCGACUGUUGAGGCGAGGAAUUUAGCACCACUUGAACUCAUACAUUCAGAUCUUUGCGAGAUGAAUGGUGUGUUGACAAAAGGUGGAAAAAGAUAUUUCAUGACUCUAAUCGAUGACUCUACUAGAUACUGCAUGAUAUAUUUGUUGAAAACAAAAGAUGAGGCUUUGCACUACUUUAAAAUCUAUAAAGCCGAAGCAGAGAAUCAACUCGAUCGAAAGAUCAAAAGGCUUAGGUCGGAUCGCGGUGGAGAGUAUUUUUCCAACGAGUUCAAUUUAUUUUGUGAGCAACAUGGUAUAAUACAUGAGAGGACGCCUCCCUACUCUCCCCAGUCAAACGGGGUUGCCGAACGAAAGAACCGAACUCUAACUGAUUUGGCUAACGCCAUGUUAGAUACAGCGGGACUUUCCAAGGAAUGGUGGGGGGAGGCUUUGAUGACUGCAAGUCAUGUCCUAAAUAGAGUUCCCACGAAGAAUAAAGAGAUAUCCCCGUUUGAAGAAUGGGAAAGGAAAAGGCUUAAACUUUCCUACUUACGAACUUGGGGUUGUUUGGCGAAGGUCAAUGUACCAAUUACCAAGAAGCGUAAACUUGGGCCAAAAACAGUUGAUUGCGUUUUCCUGGGUUAUGCUUUCCAUAGCAUUGGCUAUAGAUUUCUAGUGGUGAAAUCUGAGGUACUUGACAUGAAUGUUGGUACCAUCAUGGAGUCGAAUGAUGCGACUUUCUUUGAGGAUAUUUUUCCUAUGAAGGAUAUGCCUAGCUCAUCUAGUCAGAGGUCAGAGAUAACUCCUGGACCUACUGUUCCAUUGGAACAUUCCGAGAAGAAACACACAGAUAUUCCUGAGGAGGAUGGCAAUGAAGCUCCUAGAAGGAGCAAGAGACAAAGGACCACAAAGUCAUUUGGUGAAGAUUUCAUUGUGUACCUCGUGAAUGAUACUCCCACUUCUAUUUCAGAAGCUUAUGCAUCUUCUGAUGCUGACUACUGGAAAGAAGUUGUGCGUAGUGAGAUGGAUUCUAUCAUGGCUAAUGGGACAUGGGAGAUCACUGAUCGUCCUUAUGGGUGUAAACCUGUAGGGUGUAAGUGGGUGUUUAAGAAAAAGCUUAGGCCCGAUGGUAUAAUUGAAAAGUACAAAGCACGACUUGUUGCCAAGGGCUAUACCCAAAAAGAAGGUGAAGAUUUCUUUGAUACUUAUGCGCCUGUGGCCAGAUUGACCACCAUUCGAGUACUACUCUCAUUGGCCGCCUCACACAAUCUUCUCGUUCAUCAAAUGGACGUUAAGACAGCUUUCCUAAAUGGAGAGUUGGAGGAGGAAAUUUACAUGGAACAACCCGAUGGUUUUGUAGUAGAUGGUCAGGAAGGAAAAGUGUGUAAAUUAUUGAAAUCUUUGUAUGGUUUGAGACAAGCACCUAAGCAGUGGCACGAGAAGUUCAAAAGAACUUUGACAUCUACGGGCUUUGUUGCAAACGAAGCCGACAAGUGUGUGUACUAUCGCCAUGGUGGGGGCGAAGGAGUUAUAUUAUGUUUGUAUGUUGAUGACAUACUUAUAUCUGGAACAAAUCUCAAGGUCAUUCAGGAAGUGAAAGAUUAUCUGAAUCAAAACUUUGAGAUGAAAGACCUUGGAGUAGCUGAUGUUAUCUUGAACAUCAAGCUUUUAAGAGGUGGUGAUGGUGGGAUCACUCUCUUGCAGUCUCACUAUGUGGAGAAGAUUCUGGAUCGCUUUAGAUAUUCAGAUUGCAAACCUUCUCCGACACCUUAUGAUCCGAGUGUUUUAAUUUGGAAGAACGAAGGAGAAACAAAGGAUCAAUUGAGAUAUUCUCAAAUCAUUGGCUCGCUUAUGUAUUUAGCUAGUGCUACGAGGCCUGACAUCUCGUUUUCUGUGAGUAAACUAAGCCGGUUUGUUUCAAACCCGGGAGAUGUUCAUUGGCAUGCACUUGAGAGAAUAAUACGCUAUCUGAAAGGUACUGCGAGUUAUGGGCUUCACUAUACCGGGUAUCCAAGAGUACUUGAAGGUUAUAGUGAUGCAAAUUGGAUAUCUGAUGCUGAUGAGCUUAAAGCGACAAGUGGUUAUGUGUUUACACUUGGUGGUGCUGCUGUUUCCUGGAAGUCUUGCAAGCAGACCAUCUUAACAAGGUCAACAAUGGAAGCAGAACUCAUAGCAUUAGACACGGCAACAGUUGAAGCAGAAUGGCUUCGAGAACUUUUGAUGGACUUGCCGGUGGUUGAAAAACCAAUACCAGCUAUUCUAAUGAACUGUGAUAAUCAAACAGUGAUCGUCAAGGUAAACAGUUCUAAGGAUAAUAAGAAGUCAUCAAGACACGUGAGAAGGAGACUGAAAUCUGUCAGGUUCAUGAGAAACUCCGGAGUUAUAGCGUUGGACUAUAUAAACACAUCGAAGAAUCUGGCAGAUCCCUUCACAAAGGGUUUAUCACGAAAUGUGAUAGACAAUGCAUCGAAGGAGAUGGGAUUGAGACCCACUACAUAA